rnacentral:rRNA from 1 species
AUGUGCAGCAGUAAAAGCUUGCGACCACACCGGGCCAGCGGCCACUGCUGCUGCGUCGGUUGUCAGCCUACCGCUGCAUGCUACAGCAAGCCACUGCGCCUCUGCGAAGGUCCUUCCAUUGCUGAUGCGGCCUCUGCUGCGUGUCUCUGCACCCUACCCCCGGUCGCCAAGCCGUUCUUCUGA